AGAUAUAAAUGAACCUUCCCGUGCGGAGACAUGGGUGUUCUACUCUAAAACUCAUCCUCACCGACUGUAGAUCUCAUCGCCACCAUCAUGGAUUUCCAAAGUCCCUUACCCUCCUCACCUUCAUCAAAUCAGAAACUCUCAUCCUCACCCUCACUCUCGUUGAACACACUCUAUUGAAGGUUUUUUAACUACUGUGUGAUUGUCAAAACCUUCUUAAUCUCUGUAAAACCCUUAUCGAUGAGAGCCAUCGACCUAAUCUGCGAAAGCCUCGCCCCAUGUCUACCUCCACGAGAGCGGAUACAUAGAAAUCUUCAGAUCUCAACUACUCCAACAUCGCAAUUUUGAGAAUCAUUCGCCUUGAUACUUCCUUAAAUCGGUAAUUCUUUCAACCCUUUCAAAUUCCAGUAGAAAUUAGUUUCUAAAAGUCACAAUUUUUCUCUAAUUAGGGUUUUUUGAUAUGCAAAAUUUGGGGCUUUGAUACCUCUUCUAUUGUCUCACUAGCUUGGGAACUUGAGUUAAGCCAAAUAAUGGAUGAGUUGGCAUGCUGGAAUUGUAUCGAUGUAUGUUGUGAAAUUGUUGAGGUAGAUCCUUAGUGUGGGUGGCUUUUUUUGGUGGUACUGCAUAUCAUAGGAGGUAUUUUGGUGUUUGUCUCAGCUUAGUUUCAUAUAUGUUUCUACAGUUUAUGAACCAUCUUUUUAUCAUCAAGCUAUUUCUGAUCCUGAGUCGAGAAAAAUACAUGGGAGUUAUUGUCGUUUGGGGUGCUGCUUACAUUGUUGUCGCAGUUCUUGCUUCUUUUCAAGCCAUUAGUUAUCUUUGCACCACUCUCUAAACUCGUGGAAGUAACUGGCUGCAAUUUCGUAAAGCUACGAUGGGUUAUGCACAACUUGUUAUUGGUUCUGCUGGUAGUAUCAACUGUCAAGGUAAUUUACGGCAUUUACUUUGCUUGUUUGGAAAAAUAAUAGGUAUUAUGUAGUUGAGGUUUGUUUGGAUUAACUUAUUUUAGCUUAUUUACUAACUUGAGCACUCCUUAUAACUUACAUGAAAAUAUGAUUUUAAUUAACCCUGUGAAAGAAAUAGCUUAUACAUAACACAAGCCCUUAUAUGAUAAGCUUUUAUUUAUGUUAAAAGCACUCAAUUAAGAUGUUUAUUCAAACAAGGCCUUGACAUUUUUGUAAUAAAACUAUCAUACUAUUCUCAACCCUUAUUUAAAUGUUGAGAUAGCUGUGAUUAAUGUGUGUUUUUCUUUGUUGAUUAAUCUACAUAUCGCUCGAGUUUGUACCAACACAGAAACUGUACGACGAUCAAUACAUAUUGCGAACCUUGAUCCUGCUGCUGAAAAUUUUGACUAUCCUGUUGCGAUGGUUUUAUUUAGACACCUUGAAGAUAAACUCAAUGAUUAGCUCGACGAGGAGCUGGACAAUUAUUUAGAUGAUGAGUACUUGGUUUUUGACUGCCCUGGGUAAAGCAUAUAACAAAAUGGAGGCAACUUAAGUACUUGUUUCACUAUGGGUAAGGAAUAGGAUUAAGUAAGUAAAUUUACAUUAUAUUAUUUUUCUAACAAGAGAUAAAGUUGAUUAUCCUUAAGUGAAAAAUCAAUUUUAUUUUUUUCUCUGUCUCUAGAUAUUUUCAAAAAUUAAAUUCAAAAAAUGUUGAAUCACAAGUACUGCAUUAACAAGUCCUUGUCUAUGAUGCUGGCCAGGUUUUACUAUCUCCAUUUGCUAAAAAUUCAGCAAUAAUUCCUAAACAAGUUGUUAGAACACAAUACUUAUCUACACAAGCAUAUGUCAUUAUAAUAACAUUUAACUUUUAAAAAAUAGUUGGUAAAGUAAACUUAAAAAAAUAAAUUCACUAUAAUAAUAUUUGUGUAUGUGCCUUAUAAUCAUGUAAGUAAAAUUAUACCUUUCAUUUUGAUGUAAAAUGCAAUGAAAUAUUACAGUGAUAAAUCCUACAUCUUAUGAUAUUCACGUACAUGUAUCUAAAACUUUUAUCGUAAAUGUAUUUCUCAAUUAUGCUAUUAAAUUUAUUUUUUACAUUGCUACUAAUUAAUAGUCUUAACUUAUCUUUUCUCUCAUGUGUGCUGGUGAUUGUGUUGGUAAAGGUUUUAAAGAGCAGCAAUGACAAGGAGGAAGAUGGAAGUAAUCUCAGAGUUUAUGUAAGAAAUAAAGUAAAAGUAUUUGUAUUUUCUUUUGGUAUAAGAUUGUAUAAAUGUCAUGAAAUUAUAUUGUUUAUGAUAUCUAUCAUUAUGAUUUUAAUCAAUAAAAAUUAAUUGAUGAUAAUUUAAUUGAAAUAUGUGUUUUUUUGGUUGAUAUUCAUAUUUUAAGUAGAAUUGUUGUGUUGUUUUUGUUCUAAUAUUGAGCUACAAAAUAUCUAAUUAUCAUUUCGACAAAUGAAAAUAAAAAGAACAAUAAGAAUCUUUAAUAGCGCUUUUUACGAAGUGAUAUUAAUGUAUACAUCUAUGAUAGCGAUUUUUGAAAACACGCUACUAAAAUUAGAGCUAACAAUAGCGCCUUUCAGAAAAACGCUAUUAUUUCUUGUUAUAAAAGCCUAUGAAGUAGCGCACAAACUAAGCUUUGAUAGCACAUUUUUAAAAAAUGCUAUUAAAAAUAUAACUUUUAAUAGCAUUUUUAAAGCGCUAUUAAAUGUGUCUAUCUUAUAAUAGCGGGAGCUUUAAUAGCACUUAAAAGCGCUAUUAAAAGCUAAAAAAAGCGCUAUCAAACAUUAAUUUUGGCGUAGUGAGUAAAACAUGAUUGAGACACCAACCGAGAGUAAAGCACGAUCAAAUAGCAUCGAGAGUAAAACAUGAUCGGAUAUAAAUAAAGAUCAAUCAAGAGUAAAACGUGAUUGAAUAAUAUUAAAGGUUAAUGCCAAGUGAGUUGGACUUCGAUCUCAAGGUAAGAUGUUGAUAACAACAAGACUUGGAAAAAUAUAAAUGAGCAUGAAUUUGUUUUUAUGCAUGAUGUUAAAUUUUUCUAUGCAUGAUGAAUGCUCAAUGAAAUGUAGUUAUUUAUGACAACUGAGAUUGACUCUUUUGUGAGGCAAGAUUGGAGCUUUGAUUCCUCAACACGGGAACUCUAAAAAAUCCGCUUGGAAAGAAGAUGCUUGAACAAACUUCUUGUCACACUGAUAACUGUAUCAAACAAAUGAUCCUUUGAGAAGGACUGAUAAAUUGUGCUGAAGAAGAUUGCCCCUGAUUGAAUAAUUGUUGCAAGUUAACUGAUCAUGGCUUCAGUUGAACUAUGUUGGGGAUGAACUGAUCGUGGAUUCAACUCUUGAAAUGAAUGUUGGGAAGACUUGCCAUAAUAUACAUCUUGAAGAGGAUAUUCUGAUCAACAAAUCUUGAUUAAACAUAUGAACAACAGGAUCUUGAAGUAACGUGCCCCUGAUAGGAUCACUGACCAAGUUUCUCGACUGUUUGAACUUCCUAGAAGAUGAGUGCUUACUUGCAAAUAAAAUGUUCAUUCAAGAAUGGUAAUUUUAAUGCAAUGCUCAAAACAUAUUUUUGAAAUCAAAGUCACUUUGUAAAGAAAAUGGAAUCACUGGUCAAAACAUAAAGGUUAAGACAAUCAAUGUGAAAGAUAAAUCAAAGAUAUGGUAUCAACAUAAAUGAUUGGUAAAUCUCUUGGGAGUCAGCUUACGCAACCUUGUUGUAGUAUGCUUUCAAUAUAAACCUUGCUUCAAUUAGGGCUUUUGAAGGUUGUAACGUGGUCAGGUUCACGGUUUAAAAAACAAAAGGUAUAAGGCUCAAAAUUUUUGUAACCCACAUUAUCCUCGUGAUGAUCUUCAGUCCUAAA